rnacentral:rRNA from 1 species
CGGAUGGGGGCGGGCCUAUACAUGCAGUCGACGCGUUGGCCCAAUUGAUUGAUGGUGCUUGCACCUGAUUGAUUUUGGUCGCCAACGAGUGGCGGACGGGUGAGUAACACGUAGGUAACCUGCCCAGAAGCGGGGGACAACAUUUGGAAACAGAUGCUAAUACCGCAUAACAGCGUUGUUCGCAUGAACAACGCUUAAAAGAUGGCUUCUCGCUAUCACUUCUGGAUGGACCUGCGGUGCAUUAGCUUGUUGGUGGGGUAACGGCCUACCAAGGCGAUGAUGCAUAGCCGAGUUGAGAGACUGAUCGGCCACAAUGGGACUGAGACACGGCCCAUACUCCUACGGGAGGCAGCAGUAGGGAAUCUUCCACAAUGGGCGCAAGCCUGAUGGAGCAACACCGCGUGAGUGAAGAAGGGUUUCGGCUCGUAAAGCUCUGUUGUUAAAGAAGAACACGUAUGAGAGUAACUGUUCAUACGUUGACGGUAUUUAACCAGAAAGUCACGGCUAACUACGUGCCAGCAGCCGCGGUAAUACGUAGGUGGCAAGCGUUAUCCGGAUUUAUUGGGCGUAAAGAGAGUGCAGGCGGUUUUCUAAGUCUGAUGUGAAAGCCUUCGGCUUAACCGGAGAAGUGCAUCGGAAACUGGAUAACUUGAGUGCAGAAGAGGGUAGUGGAACUCCAUGUGUAGCGGUGGAAUGCGUAGAUAUAUGGAAGAACACCAGUGGCGAAGGCGGCUACCUGGUCUGCAACUGACGCUGAGACUCGAAAGCAUGGGUAGCGAACAGGAUUAGAUACCCUGGUAGUCCAUGCCGUAAACGAUGAGUGCUAGGUGUUGGAGGGUUUCCGCCCUUCAGUGCCGGAGCUAACGCAUUAAGCACUCCGCCUGGGGAGUACGACCGCAAGGUUGAAACUCAAAGGAAUUGACGGGGGCCCGCACAAGCGGUGGAGCAUGUGGUUUAAUUCGAAGCUACGCGAAGAACCUUACCAGGUCUUGACAUCUUGCGCCAACCCUAGAGAUAGGGCGUUUCCUUCGGGAACGCAAUGACAGGUGGUGCAUGGUCGUCGUCAGCUCGUGUCGUGAGAUGUUGGGUUAAGUCCCGCAACGAGCGCAACCCUUGUUACUAGUUGCCAGCAUUAAGUUGGGCACUCUAGUGAGACUGCCGGUGACAAACCGGAGGAAGGUGGGGACGACGUCAGAUCAUCAUGCCCCUUAUGACCUGGGCUACACACGUGCUACAAUGGACGGUACAACGAGUCGCGAACUCGCGAGGGCAAGCAAAUCUCUUAAAACCGUUCUCAGUUCGGACUGCAGGCUGCAACUCGCCUGCACGAAGUCGGAAUCGCUAGUAAUCGCGGAUCAGCAUGCCGCGGUGAAUACGUUCCCGGGCCUUGUACACACCGCCCGUCACACCAUGAGAGUUUGUAACACCCAAAGUCGGUGGGGUAACCUAUAGGAGCCAGCCGCCUAAGGUGAUUCCGGUCC